CUUUGUGCUUUUCAAAUGUUUGC
rnacentral:piRNA from 1 species